UACGAAGGGUGCAAGCGUUAAUCGGAAUUACUGGGCGUAAAGCGCGCGUGGGUGGUUCGUUAAGUUAGGAGUGAAAGCCCCGGGCUCAACCUGGGAAUUGCUUCUAAAACUGGCGAGCUAGAGUAUGGUAGAGGGUGGUGGAAUUUCCUGUGUAGCGGUGAAAUGCGUAGAUAUAGGAAGGAACAUCAGUGGCGAAGGCGACCACCUGGACUGAUACUGACACUGAGGUGCGAAAGCGUGGGGAGCAAACGGGAUUAGAUACCCGGGUAGUCCCUGAGCGGG
rnacentral:rRNA from 1 species